rnacentral:rRNA from 1 species
GCUAACCCGUAAGGGAGGCAGACCGCCGAAGGUGGGUUGGUGACUGGGGUG